GCUGGACUGUGUGUGAUGGUGUAUGCCUGUAGUCCCAGUCACUCAGGAGGCUGAAGUGGGAGGAGGGCUUGAGACCAGGAGUUCUAGGCUAUAGUGAGCUAUGCUUAUCAGAUGCUUCACUAAGUUCGGCAUCAAUAUGGUGACCUCCCAGGAGCCAGGGACUACCAGGUUGCCUAAGGAGAGGUGAACUGGCCAAGUUCAGAAAUAGAGUUGGUUAAAACCCCUGUGCUCAUCAAGAACAGACACCAGGUUAGAGUUCCAGUCUUCUCUAUUCAUAAGUGUAGAGCCACCAUUACUU
ensembl:misc_RNA Metazoa_SRP Metazoan signal recognition particle RNA